UGGUAAAAAUAUAAAUACGAUAACUCUGGAUAACCUCCCGGGUGAAAUGCUCACCGAUAUCCGUGCGCUUGUGGAUCAUUUCCUGAUUGCGUUACCAAAUAUCAACAGUUAUAUAGUCCCCUCAAGUGAAUCUGGGCUGUUGGAUCAAACCGACAUUGAUUGAAUGGUUAUUCUCGAUCCUUUAGGUCUGUGGAGCUUAAUCCCCGAGUUGUACCCUGAUUGGGCAGAAUAGGAGGGCGGGCGCCCUAAGGACUAGGGCGUGCGCCCUGUCCCUGAACCCUCUCGGCUU
rnacentral:lncRNA from 1 species